rnacentral:tRNA from 1 species
GCACCUAUCGUCUAAUUGGAAUAGGACACCGACCUUUCACGUCGGCAAAUACGGGUUCGAGUCCCGUUGGGUGUA